GACGAACGCUGGCGGCGCGCCUAACACAUGCAAGUCGAACGGAGCUUAGAGAGCUUGCUUUUUAAGCUUAGUGGCGAACGGGUGAGUAACGCGUGAGUAACCUGCCCUAGAGUGGGGGACAACAGUUGGAAACGACUGCUAAUACCGCAUAAGCCCACGGUACCGCAUGGCACUGAGGGAAAAGGAUUUAUUCGCUUUAGGAUGGACUCGCGUCCAAUUAGCUGGUUGGCGGGGUAACGGCCCACCAAGGCGACGAUCAGUAGCCGGACUGAGAGGUUGAACGGCCACAUUGGGACUGAGACACGGCCCAAACUCCUACGGGAGGCAGCAGUGGGGAAUAUUGCACAAUGGGGGAAACCCUGAUGCAGCGACGCCGCGUGAGUGAUGAAGUAUUUCGGUAUGUAAAACUCUGUCAGCAGGGAAGAUAAUGACGGUACCUGACUAAGAAGCACCGGCUAAAUACGUGCCAGCAGCCGCGGU
rnacentral:rRNA from 1 species